UACGUAGGGGGCAAGCGUUGUCCGGAUUCAUUGGGCGUAAAGAGCGUGUAGGCGGCCAGGUAGGUCGGUUGUGAAAACUGGAGGCUCAACCUUCAGAGGUCGACCGAAACCAUCUGGCUAGAGUCCGGGAGAGGAGAGUGGAAUUCCUGGUGUAGCGGUGAAAUGCGCAGAUAUCAGGAAGAACACCCGUGGCGAAGGCGGCUCUCUGGGCCGGUACUGACGCUGAGACGCGAAAGCGUGGGGAGCGAACAGG
rnacentral:rRNA from 1 species